GAUGAACGCUGGCGGCGUGCCUAAUACAUGCAAGUCGAGCGAACGGACGAGAAGCUUGCUUCUCUGAUGUUAGCGGCGGACGGGUGGGUAACACGUGGAUAACCUACCUAUAAGACUGGGAUAACUUCGGGAAACCGGAGCUAAUACCGGAUAAUAUUUUGAACCGCAUGGUUCAAAAGUGAAAGACGGUCUUGCUGUCACUUAUAGAUGGAUCCGCGCUGCAUUAGCUAGUUGGUAAGGUAACGGCUUACCAAGGCAACGAUGCAUAGCCGACCUGAGAGGGUGAUCGGCAACACUGGAACUGAGACACGGUCCAGACUCCUACGGGAGGCAGCAGUAGGGAAUCUUCCGCAAUGGGCGAAAGCCUGACGGAGCAACGCCGCGUGAGUGAUGAAGGUCUUCGGAUCGUAAAACUCUGUUAUUAGGGAAGAACAUAUGUGUAAGUAACUGUGCACAUCUUGACGGUACCUAAUCAGAAAGCCACGGCUAACUACGUG
rnacentral:rRNA from 1 species